AUGACUAGCAAUGAAAGUCGUGUUUUAACAUUCUUGAAGAUGAGGAAACUGGGAAGCUGGACCCGGUCCCCCGUUAAGUCCUCGGAUGGAGGGAAAGUUAUCAGAGAUAGAAAAGGUAGGCAGAACAUUUUUAACUGUUCACAAGUGACCUUGUCUCCAGAUUACAUGAAACUGAGUGGUCACUCCAUAAAACCACCACAAAAACUCCCUUUCCUGAACACCAAGGGCUGCUCACCCAAAUUCAUCAUGCUUUUGUGGCUUGACUCCAUUGUGUCAGCCCAUAUGCCCCAAAUAAUGUUUAAAAAUGUCUUAGCAGUGAAGCUUACAUCCAGGUUUAGUCCUUUCAAUUUCCCAGGAUUUUCAUGUAAGUUGUCUUCUCCCCCAGAGAAAGCUAAAUGGGCUAGAAGAGGUCUCAGUGAAUGCCACCUCUUCCAUCCAGAUGCACUUUCUUCACCAAUGAUGUUAGAAUAACGUUGGUAGCAUCCUCUGCCAUUUGUUUUCUUGUGGAACAGGAGCAUGUAGCUCUAUGGUUGCAUGGCCCACUCAUACUGUCCAUGUUACAGCUUUAAUGCUAUAUUAGCCCGUGGCAGCUGAUGACAUCUCAGUAAGAAUUGCUUUACUGAAGUUAAAUUAGUAAAUACAUAUUUCUAGGCACAACACAGACAUCUGAGCUAACUGCAAAUCAAUGAAAUUAGUAUGUCUGCAGCAAAAAGUUAAAUACACAUUUGUUAAUGAUCGUAUAUGCUGUUUAGUAUGGUUAAAUAAGAUCUCUGCUCAGAGACAUAUAUUCAGCAUUUUACAAAAUAUCCUAUUUAUAGUUAAAUGUAUCUGCCAUUCUUUGUCUUUCAUAACUCUCAAAGAGAUUUUCCAGACACAAGAAACCAAUGAGCUGCUGUGUGUGAAGACUAGUACCCUCUGCUGAAUGGACACUUACCUGUUAGGCUGCUUGGGAGUGCUCUAGCAAACACUUCAGAGCCUCAAGGUGGCAGUACAGCAAGACAUCUCUUUCUGAAGACAACUGGGAUAUGUCCCAGAGAAACAGUAUCACUCUCAGUGUCAUGGAGGACAGAGUUUCCAAUAUGGAUAUACUUUUCCUGUCUUACAGCUCCAAAGAAAUCAACAGUGCUACACUGAAAAAACUUUGCACAGCAAAAAAAAAAGAAACAAAACAAAACAAAAAAAAAAAACAAAAAAAAAAACAAAAAAAAACCAACAACAACAAAACUUUAUGUUUCAAUUUUCAAUUCUUUUUAACUUUUAUACCCUAUCCUUGUAGAUCAGCCUUUCAGCUUCUUUUAAUGCACUCAAAAAGAAGUUUUGUAAAACAGUGUUGAUGAUCAGAUGAGACUGUCAUAUCCGAAUGAACCCCAGCAUGUAGCUACAAAGGUGCACUUAUUUUGACCAAAGCUGUCAUGUUGCACAUGGUACUCUUUAUUAUGAACUGCCUUCAGCCUUAUUUUUUAUUUUUUUCCACCUUCUGUUUCUUUUCUUUCCUGCUGUGGAAUGUUUUUUUAUUCAUUACUGGUGGCAGCCCUGCCGUCAUUUUAUUUUUUUUUCCUCCUGCUGAGGUGCAGUAAAAUAAAUUAGUUUAAUACAUUUUAUAAAGGUAGUUG
rnacentral:lncRNA from 1 species